rnacentral:rRNA from 1 species
ACGCUAUCUGGAGGUUACCGCGGCUGCUGGCACGGAGUUAGCCGGUGCUUCUUCUGUGAGUGAUGUCCUUCCUGCCGGUUAUUGACCCGCAGGCCUUCUUCCUCACUGAAAGUGCUUUACAACCCGAAGGCCUUCUUCACACACGCGGCAUGGCUGGAUCAGGGUUGCCCCCAUUGUCCAACUAUUCCCCACUGCUGCCUCCCGUAGGAGUCUGGGCCGUGUCUCAGUCCCAGUGUGGCUGAUCAUCCUCUCAGACCAGCUACGGAUCGUCGCCUUGGUGAGCCGUUACCUCACCAACCAGCUAAUCCGACAUAGGCUCAUCCGAUAGCGCGAGGCCCGAAGGUCCCCCG